UGGGCUGGUUGAAAGACCCGGGUCCACCUGUCGGCGGGGAAGUGCCCC
ncrna:unclassified sequences DTF3800-XI RNA